UACGUAGGGGGCUAGCGUUGUCCGGAUUUAUUGGGCGUAAAGGGCGCGUAGGCGGCGUGGUAAGUCACUUGUGAAAUCUCUGAGCUUAACUCAGAACGGCCAAGUGAUACUGCUGUGCUAGAGUGCAGAAGGGGCAAUCGGAAUUCUUGGUGUAGCGGUGAAAUGCGUAGAUAUCAAGAGGAACACCUGAGGUGAAGACGGGUUGCUGGGCUGACACUGACGCUGAGGCGCGAAAGCCAGGGGAGCAAACGGG
rnacentral:rRNA from 1 species